rnacentral:rRNA from 1 species
ACAGGUGCUGCAUGGCUGUCGUCAGCUCGUGUCGUGAGAUGUUCGGUUAAGUCCGGCAACGAGCGCAACCCACAUCUUCAGUUGCCAUCAGUUCGGCUGGGCACUCUGGAGAAACUGCCCGUGAUAAGCGGGAGGAAGGUGUGGAUGACGUCAAGUCCUCAUGGCCCUUACGGGUUGGGCUACACACGUGCUACAAUGGCAGUGACAAUGGGUUAAUCCCCAAAAAACUGUCUCAGUUCGGAUUGUUCUCUGCAACUCGAGAGCAUGAAGUCGGAAUCGCUAGUAAUCGCGUAACAGCAUGACGCGGUGAAUACGUUCCCGGGCCUUGUACACACCGCCCGUCACACCAUGGGAAUUGGUUCUA